CCUACGUGAGGCUGCAGUGAGGAAUAUUGGUCAAUGGACGAGAGUCUGAACCAGCCAAGUCGCGUGAAGGAUGACUGCUCUAUGGGUUGUAAACUUCUUUUAUAUGGGAAUAAAAUGUUCCACGUGUGGGAUUUUGUAUGUACCAUAUGAAUAAGGAUCGGCUAACUCCGUGCCAGCAGCCGCGGUACUACGGAGGAUCCGAGCGUUAUCCGGAUUUAUUGGGGUUAAAGGGAGCGUAGGUGGAUUGUUAAGUCAGUUGUGAAAGUUUGCGGGUCAACCGUAAAAUUGCAGUUGAAACUGGCAGUCUUGAGUACAGGAGAGGUGAGCGGAAUUCGUGGUGUAGCGGUGAAAUGCUUAGAUAUCACGAAGAACUCCGAUGGCGAAGGCAGCUCACUGGACUGCAACUGACACUGAGGCUCGAAAGUGUGGGUAGCAAACAGGAUUAGAUACCCGGGUAGUC
rnacentral:rRNA from 1 species